rnacentral:rRNA from 1 species
AGGAUGAACGCUGGCGGCGUGCUUAACACAUGCAAGUCAUGGGGGCCCAGCAAUGGGCAACCGGCGAACGGGUGCGUAACACGUGAGCAACCUACCCAGGUGUGGGGGAUAGCCGUCCCAACGGACGGGUAAUACCGCAUACGCUCAACACGAGGCAUUUCGAGUUGAGGAAACCUUCGGGGCACCAUGAGGGGCUCGCGGCCUAUCAGCUAGUUGGCGAGGUAACGGCUCACCAAGGCUACGACGGGUAGCUGGUCUGAGAGGAUGACCAGCCACAUUGGGACUGAGAAACGGCCCAGACUCCUACGGGAGCAGCGAGUGGGGAAUCGUUGCGCAAUGGCCUAACGGCUGACGCAGCGACGCCGCGUGAGGGAUGACGCUCUUCGGAGUGUAAACCUCUUUGCCUGGAACGAACUAUCAGCUUCAGCUGAUUUGACGGUACCGGUAGAAUAGCGACCGCUAACGUCCGUACA